GGAAGUUAAGAAACUGUUUCUUAACUUUUAACUAAUAAAGCUAAGAACCGGUUCUUAAAAAAAGACUUUAAGAACCGGUUCUUAAAAAAGGACUUUAAGAACCGGUUCUUAUCUUUUUUAGGUAAAAGUUAAGAAACAGUUUCUUAACUUCC
rfam:Brassica oleracea var. oleracea cultivar TO1000 chromosome C9, whole genome shotgun sequence